UAAAAACGUAAACGUUACCAACACUUGUGAGAUGGACAAUAGUAUUGUUCAGUCCUAGAGAAGUGGAUCAUCAAUGAGCACAUCAAAUCCGCCCCUAGAUCCCCACAACAGUGCUGGAAGCACAAGUAAUCCUACUGAAUUUGUAAAUCAUGGAAAAUUCAAAAAGUCUUCUUCUUUGGAAUUAUAUAAGACAGGAAUGGAUUGGAAAUAAGAGGUCUCGAAACCGUACAUAAGUUCCCAAACCCAAACUAAGGUUUUAUUGGCUGAUGAUAUCUAGGUUAUGAUCUUAGGUUACCAGCCGAAAUGUACUCGAUGGUAUAAAAAAUUGAGUCACUUGCUCGGCAGAUGACUUCGUUGCGUGGACUUGCAGAGAUAUUUUGGUGUAUGGAGAAGAAAUUGUACUUUUGUAUAGAAGUAAUAUAAUACUUUUGUCGUCUCUGGCUUUUGUACAAUCAACUAUUCCUGAUACAGAAAUUUUUGAUAGCGAACAGAUAAUUAUUGGCAUGGUAGAUGGAUCACCUUUUGACGCCGUACAGAUAUAUGAUUUUUUGUCGUGAUACAUAGAUGUAUUUUUGGCUUGGUACAUACAUCAUCUUUUGUCGUAGUACAGAUUACGAUGGUAAUUUGUACCAUGCCAAAUUGUCAUUUCACAUGGUAUAGUAAAUGUAAUUUUUGUAUAUGGAGGGUUUUACUUUUUGUAUGAUUGUAUAUGUUGUAUGAAAUUAUUAUUUUAGUUUGGACAAUAGUUCGUUUGUAUGUACUUGGACAGUUAACGCAAUUUAUUUUUUGUA